UAAAAGGUGCAAGUGUAUGAAUGGAUGGAUAGAUGGAUGAAUAUGGCUUACUCCUUGAGGAAUGUUCUACGAGAGAGAUCACCAAGACAUGGAGCAUUUAUUGAUGUAGAAUGGAUGGUGGUGCUAAUUCCUAGUGUAGAAAUAUAACAAAUGGAUGAGACGUGUACGUGCUUAUGAUCGAGAAAGCAUGAGGAGCAUCUUACUAGGGUCACCCAAUUUGACAAAACCCAACAGAAUAUCAAGCAGCAUAUGUAUAAGGGUUUUUCAUGGAAUAUGACA